rnacentral:tRNA from 1 species
GGAGGGUAUAGCUCAGUGGUAGAGUGCAUGCUUAGCAUGCAUGAGGUCCUGGGUUCAAUCCCCAGUACCCCCA